rnacentral:rRNA from 1 species
UAGGGAAUCUUCCACAAUGGGCGCAAGCCUGAUGGAGCAACGCCGCGUGAGUGAAGAAGGUCUUCGGAUCGUAAAACUCUGUUGUUAGAGAAGAACCCAUGCAGGAGAGUAACUGUUCUUGUAUUGACGGUAUCUAACCAGAAAGCCACGGCUAACUACGUACCAG